rnacentral:tRNA from 1 species
GCCGGAAUAGCUCAGUUGGUAGAGCAGARGACUGAAAAUCCUCGUGUCACCAGUC